UGGGGAAUAUUGCACAAUGGGGGAAACCCUGAUGCAGCAACGCCGCGUGGAGGAUGACGCAUUUCGGUGUGUAAACUCCUUUUAUAAGGGAAGAUAAUGACGGUACCUUAUGAAUAAGCACCGGCUAACUCCGUGCCAGCAGCCGCGGUAAUACGGAGGGUGCAAGCGUUACUCGGAAUCACUGGGCGUAAAGGAUGCGUAGGCUGUAAUAUAAGUCAGAAGUGAAAUCCAACGGCUUAACCGUUGAACUGCUUUUGAAACUGUUUUACUAGAAUAUGGGAGAGGUAGAUGGAAUUGGUGGUGUAGGGGUAAAAUCCGUAGAUAUCACCAGGAAUACCGAUUGCGAAGGCGAUCUACUGGAACAUUAUUGACGCUGAGGCAUGAAAGCGUGGGGAGCAAACAGG
rnacentral:rRNA from 2 species